AUGACAGCUUACAGUCCUGCGUAAAGAUGAAAGUGACUUUGUACAGCCCCGAUUUGCAGACACUGUGCGCAGAGGUUCAGGAGCAGAAGUCCCAUUAACCAGGUCAAGGCUCCGCUACAUGCUCUGAAAGCCCAAAGGCGAUACUAUAAGGAUGACGGCUCACGGCAUUUUUUGCUUUUGUUUGCUACAUGGAUAUUUUAAGUUCAGCUUUUUAAUUUAUUUGAAAGAGACAUUCAGACAUUGUUAUUAUUUUUUCAAGAAUUCAAAAUGUUCAAAAUGUUCAAAGCACUAAUAAGUGUAUGGCUGGGGUGAACCCCGAAGCAUGAAAGGGAA